GGGGAUUUAGCUCAGUGGUAGAGCGCUUGCCUAGGAAGCGCAAGGCCCUGGGUUCGGACCCCAGCUCCA
rfam:Rattus norvegicus chromosome 1, whole genome shotgun sequence.